rnacentral:rRNA from 1 species
GAUGAACGCUGGCGGCGUGCUUAACACAUGCAAGUCAAACGGAAAGGCCACAGCUUGCUGUGGUACUCGAGUGGCUAACGGGUGAGUAACACGUGGGUGAUCUGCCCUGUACUUCGGGAUAAGCUUGGGAAACUGGGUCUAAUACCGGAUAGGAAUCACAUGUGGGUGUGUGGUUGGAAAGCUUUUGCGGUAUGGGAUGAGCUCGCGGCCUAUCAGCUUGUUGGUGGGGUAAUGGCCUACCAAGGCGUCGACGGGUAGCCGGCCUGAGAGGGUGUACGGCCACAUUGGGACUGAGAUACGGCCCAGACUCCUACGGGAGGCAGCAGUGGGGAAUAUUGCACAAUGGGCGCAAGCCUGAUGCAGCGACGCCGCGUGGGGGAUGACGGCCUUCGGGUUGUAAACUCCUUUCGUCAGGGACGAAGCGAAAGUGACGGUACCUGGAUAAGAAGCACCGGCUAACUACGUG